rnacentral:rRNA from 1 species
UACGGAGGGUGCGAGCGUUGUCCGGAAUCAUUGGGCGUAAAGGGCGCGUAGGUGGCCCGGUCAGUUCGUGGUGAAAGCGCGGGGCUCAACCCUUCGUCGGCCAUGAAUACUGCCGCGGCUGGAGCACUGUAGAGGCAGGCGGAAUUCCGGGUGUAGCGGUGGAAUGCGUAGAGAUCCGGAAGAACACCGGUGGCGAAGGCGGCCUGCUGGGCAGUUGCUGACACUGAGGCGCGACAGCGUGGGGAGCAAACAGG